rnacentral:piRNA from 1 species
GCCUAUUCUAUUCAUUCACAUUUUGAUGUC